UGGGGAAUAUUGCACAAUGGGCGCAAGCCUGAUGCAGCCAUGCCGCGUGUGUGAAGAAGGCCUUCGGGUUGUAAAGCACUUUCAGCGGGGAGGAAGGCGAUAAGGUUAAUAACCUCAUCGAUUGACGUUACCCGCAGAAGAAGCACCGGCUAACUCCGUGCCAGCAGCCGCGGUAAUACGGAGGGUGCAAGCGUUAAUCGGAAUUACUCGGCGUAAAGCGCACGCAGGCGGUCUGUCAAGUCGGAUGUGAAAUCCCCGGGCUCAACCUGGGAACUGCAUUCGAAACUGGCAGGCUAGAGUCUUGUAGAGGGGGGUAGAAUUCCAGGUGUAGCGGUGAAAUGCGUAGAGAUCUGGAGGAAUACCGGUGGCGAAGGCGGCCCCCUGGACAAAGACUGAUGCUCAGGUGCGAAAGCGUGGGGAGCAAACAGG
rnacentral:rRNA from 1 species